GAUGAACGCUGGCGGCGUGCCUAACACAUGCAAGUCGAGCGAGAAGUUUAUGGAAUAAGUCUUCGGACAAGUAAAGUAAAUGGAAAGCGGCGGACGGGUGAGUAACGCGUAGGCAACCUGCCCCAUACAGAGGGAUAGCCUCGAGAAAUCGGGAUUCAAACCUCAUAAUGCCAUCGAGUCACAUGGCCCUUUGGCCAAAGAUUUAUCGGUAUGGGAUGGGCCUGCGUCUGAUUAGCUAGUUGGUGAGGUAACGGCUCACCAAGGCUGCGAUCAGUAGCAGAACUGAGAGGUUCAUCUGCCACAUUGGAACUGAGACACGGUCCAAACUCCUACGGGAGGCAGCAGUGAGGAAUAUUGCACAAUGGGCGAAAGCCUGAUGCAGCAACGCCGCGUGAGCGAUGAAGGCCUUUGGGUCGUAAAGCUCUGUCCUUGGGGAAGAAACAAAUGACGGUACCCUUGGAGGAAGCCCCGGCUAACUACGUGCCAGCCGCCGCCGUAA
rnacentral:rRNA from 1 species